UGCAUAAGUUUGUAUUCUUUAUUCUAUUGGAUUAUUUUGAGUUGAUCAUUGUUUGUGUCUGCAAUAAAUUUUCCAGGCAUCUAUAUACAUUUGUUGAUAGGUUAGAGAUAUGAACUGGUUCAACGUAUGAUCUAUCUCUACAAUGUCACCUUCGGACUCUACAUGUUGGAUUGGUGGGAACGUUUCCUUUUCAACACAUUGGUAAUUGUGUUGAUAUGGUUCGUCUUCUACAACAGCUCACGAUAUGUAACUGAGUUCUGCAAAAGGCAUCUAUACUAGGUUGGGAGGUGGCAUUGGCCUGACAGAUUGCAAUGAUGAUGGUAUUAAAAUACUUUUGAAUUAUACAGUUGAAAACCUUGCUUAUGUGAA